GUUUCACCACUCAACUAGUGCUCCUACCCCUGACCCCUCUCUCAUCUCCCACCACUCGGCUACCAAUGGGUCUCCUGGGAUGGGAGCAGAGACAGCAGGAAGAGUGAUUGAAUUGAUGCAGCAUGAAAUCAAAGCUGGAUAAGGAAGGAAGGAAGGGAGGUCGGUGGACUAAAGCAUUCAGGAAGUUGAAGAAUGGAGAAGAAAUGGCUGAGCUAACAUUCUGGAAAGAUACUUUUAGCAGCUGAUUGACUAAAGGGAAUGGAGGCCAGCAGGGAUGUUUUCUGAUGUCUUCCUUUACUACCAGUCGGAGAAAACUCUCCAUUCUUAAAAGACUCACAUGGACAGAGAAGGCCCACUCAAGAUCAUUUCCCUUUUGCCAUAUAACAUAAGCGAUAGAUUGAUGUCUGCUUCACCAUCACCCUUAAAGAGGAAUGAAUGAUAAAAAGACAAGGAUCCCUGGAGGUGAUCUUAGAAUUCUGCCCGCCACAUUCAUUUAUGGGACAGCAUUUAUGUUUCAGGCACUGCAGAAAGCAGUGUGGGUGCAAAGACAGAUUGCUACCUUCCAGUUGUCCAUCCUCUACCCUACGCUGUCCAACACAUGAGCCCCUGCCGCAUGUGGCUAUGGAGUACUAAAACAUGGCUAAUCCAAAUUGUGGUAUGCUGUAAGUGUGGCAUGCACACUA